UAGUUUUUGGUGUUAAUGCACAAUAAAUUUUGAAUUUAUUAGUAAUAACUAAAGGUUAUUAAAACUAA
rnacentral:tRNA from 1 species